rnacentral:pre_miRNA from 1 species
AUACUACUCCCUCCGUCCAGAAAUAUUUGUCAUCAAAAUAGAUAAAAGGAGAUGUAUCUAGAUGUAUUUUAGUUCUAGAUAUAUCCUUUUUUAUCUAUUUUAAUGACAAAUAUUUUCGGACGGAGGGAGUAUAUA